UACGUAGGGUGCAAGCGUUGUCCGGAAUUAUUGGGCGUAAAGAGCUCGUAGGCGGUUUGUCGCGUCUGCUGUGAAAACUCGAGGCUCAACCUCGAGACGUCGGUUGAAACCAUCUGACUAGAGUCCGGAAGAGGAGAGUGGAAUUCCUGGUGUAGCGGUGAAAUGCGCAGAUAUCAGGAAGAACACCCGUGGCUAAGGCGGCUCUCUAGUACGGUACUGACGCUGAGACGCGAAAGCGUGGGGAGCGAACAGG
rnacentral:rRNA from 1 species